UACGGAGGGGGGCUAGCGUUUAUUCGGAAUUAUUGGGCGUAAAGGGCGCGUAGGCGGCCCGGUAAGUCAAAGGUGAAAUCCCUCGGCUCAACUGAGGAACUGCCUUUGAAACUGUCGGGCUUGAGGCCGGGAGGGGGUAGCGGAAUUCCCAGUGUAGCGGUGAAAUGCGUAGAUAAUUGGGAGGAACACCGGUGGCGAAGGCGGCACCUGGACCGGUUCUGACGCUGAUGCGCGAAAGCGUGGGUAGCAAACAGG
rnacentral:rRNA from 1 species